CUUUAUUUGUUACAAAAACAUAACGAUAAUAAGUCACCUAUUGUAAACGUUUGUGUCAGUAGUAUGGCAUUGCUGAUUGUUUUCAGCCAUAAUGUACUUAGAAAAAGCUCACAAUUGCUAUUACUGACACAAAAGAAACAGCAAGUAGUAUGCUCUGGAUUAUUUUAAUAUCAAAAGUGUUGUUGUUUCACCCAAACAAAAAAUGGUUGUCCUAGAUUGAAUUAUUGUAAAUGAAUACUGUUAUCCCAAUUAAUGGUAAAAACUAGGAAAUAUGAACUAGAAUGUCAUGCACAAAAAACAGAUUGCAAAUAGAGUAACUCUACCCAUCACUUAAGAGCUAAGAAGCAAGCACUAUUGAACAUAUUAAAUAGUCAUUUGUAAAUUAGUGAAGUGUUCAUUUCCUGAAGAAAUUAUAAUGCUAUGUGUAGAAUCUAAUAUAAACAGUAUUUUGGGAGACCUCUUAUUUAGCCAAAUUAUUAUAUACUUUAAAUCAUGUCUAAUUAGGUGCCAAAUUAUAUACCAUAAUUAAAAUUUUAAUGUAAGGGUUGUACAUUCUGAAAUUAAAUCUCUUAUCGGGAUGCUUUUCAUUUUAUCAGCUUCAAAUAGUGAUCCAAAUAAGGCAGCAUAUCUGCUCCCAUCCUAAGCCCAAAAGACCAACAAUAAAUUGUGUGGCACUUUUAGUUCAAGGCAAUGAAAACAGCACAAGAGGUUGUGGUUAACCUAAAUCCAGC
rnacentral:lncRNA from 1 species